rnacentral:rRNA from 1 species
UCGAGGAUUUUUCUCAAUGGGGGCAACCCUGAAGGAGCGACGCCGCGUGGAGGAUGAAGGGCUUCGGCUCGUAAACUCCUGUCACCGACGAACAAGACAUCCGGAUUAAUAACUCGGAUGUUUGAUGGUAGUCGGAGAGGAAGGGGCGGCUAACUCUGUGCCAGCAGCCGCGGUGAUACAGAGGCCCCAAGCGUUGUUCGGAUUUACUGGGCGUAAAGGGUGUGUAGGGGGUUAGGUUAGUCUGACGUGAAAUACCGUUGCUCAACAACGGAACUGCGUCGGAUACUGCCUAGCUAGAGGUUCGGAGAUGAGGGCGGAAUUCUCGGUGUAGCGGUGAAAUGCGUAGAUAUCGAGAGGAACGCCGAUGGCGAAAGCAGCCCUCAAGACGAAAUCUGACCCUGAAACACGAAGGCCAGGGGAGCAAACGGG